AGCGAACGCUGGCGGCAGGCCUAACACAUGCAAGUCGAACGAACCUUUCGGGGUUAGUGGCGGACGGGUGUGUAACACGUGGGAACGUGCCCUUAGGUUCGGAAUAACUCAGGGAAACUUGUGCUAAUACCGAAUGUGCCCUUCGGGGGAAAGAUUUAUCGCCUUUAGAGCGGCCCGCGUCUGAUUAGCUAGUUGGUUGAGGUAAUGGCUCACCAAGGCGACGAUCAGUAGCUGGUCUGAGAGGAUGAUCAGCCACAUUGGGACUGAGACACGGCCCAGACUCCUACGGGAGGCAGCAGUGGGGAAUCUUGCGCAAUGGGCGAAAGCCUGACGCAGCCAUGCCGCGUGAAUGAUGAAGGUCUUAGGAUUGUAAAAUUCUUUCACCGGGGACGAUAAUGACGGUACCCGGAGAAGAAGCCCCGGCUAACUUCGUG
rnacentral:rRNA from 1 species